GAUGAAGAACGUAGCGAAAUGCGAUAAGUAAUGUGAAUUACAGAAUUCAGUGAAUCAUCGAAUCUUUGAACGCACAUUGCGCCCGCCAGCAUUCUGGCGGGCAUGCCUGUUCGAGCGUCAUUUCAACCCUCGCAGCCCAUCUGGGCAGCGGUGUUGGGGACCGGCACCACCGGCGAAGCCCUUAGGGGCCCAGCCGGCGCCGCCCCCGAAAUACAGUGGCGGUCUCGCUGCAGCCUCCCUUGCGUAGUAGCACACCUCGCACCGGAGCGCAGCGCGGCCACGCCGUAAAACCCCCGACUUUCUGAGUUUGACCUCGAAUCAGGUAGGAAUACCCGCUGAACUUAAGCAUAUCAAUAAGCGGAGGA
rnacentral:misc_RNA from 1 species